rnacentral:rRNA from 1 species
UAGGGAAUCUUCGGCAAUGGACGAAAGUCUGACCGAGCAACGCCGCGUGAGUGAAGAAGGUUUUCGGAUCGUAAAACUCUGUUGUUAGAGAAGAACAAGGACGUUAGUAACUGAACGUCCCCUGACGGUAUCUAACCAGAAAGCCACGGCUAACUACGUGCCAGCAGCCGCGGUAAUACGUAGGUGGCAAGCGUUGUCCGGAUGUAUUGGGCGUAAAGCGAGCGCAGGCGGUUUCUUAAGUCUGAUGUGAAAGCCCCCGGCUCAACCGGGGAGGGUCAUUGGAAACUGGGAGACUGGAGUGCAGAAGAGGAGAGUGGAAUUCCAUGUGUAGCGGUGAAAUGCGUAGAUAUAUGGAGGAACACCAGUGGCGAAGGCGGCUCUCUGGUCUGUAACUGACGCUGAGGCUCGAAAGCGUGGGGAGCAAACAGG